UACGAAGGGGGCUAGCGUUGUUCGGAAUUACUGGGCGUAAAGGGCGCGUAGGCGGUGCUUCAAGUCAGGCGUGAAAGCCCCGGGCUCAACCUGGGAACCGCGCUUGAGACUGGAGUACUAGAGUUCGGGAGAGGAUGGUGGAAUUCCCAGUGUAGAGGUGAAAUUCGUAGAUAUUGGGAAGAACACCGAUGGCGAAGGCAGCCAUCUGGACCGACACUGACGCUGAGGCGCGAAAGCGUGGGGAGCAAACAGG
rnacentral:rRNA from 1 species